GCUGGUUUAGCUCAGUUGGCAGCGUGCCAGACCUGAAAUCAGGAUGUCGUGGGUUCUGUACCUGCAAUCGGCA
rnacentral:tRNA from 1 species